UUUUGUUUUGUUUUAAUGCUAAAGGGUAGUUCAAAGAUAAUUUUGUCUUUUUAUAACUCCCAAACAUUAUUUAUAAUUAGUUUUGGAUCUUAUUGUCCACUUUUAAUUUUAUGAAAAAUUUGAUUAUAUUAUAGAUGAACCAACGGGAGAAUGAAACUUUGUUACCUAGUCUCUGCACUCUUGCUCACUCCUCGCUAUGGCGGUUUGUAUAGCUCUUCGUUAUACAGUGUGAUUAUUACAAGGUCUACCUCAUUAUGAAAAUAUGAGAAAUGACAUGUGUUUUAAGGUAUAUAAGUAAGAAAUUAAAUAUAAAAAUAUUUUAUUGGAAAUUAUGCAUAUUAAUGUUUUAGAAAUUUAAAAUCUUAUCUUUAUAAAAUAAAAUUUAUAUUUUAAUUUCAUUUUUAGUUUCUUAAGGCACAAGUUGGAAUGACUCUAAAAAUGUUUAGAUUAGAAAAGAUAUAUACAAAUAAUUCAAAUGGUUAAUGAAUUUAAGUGGUUAGUAAGUUUCUUCAAAAUACGAAUUAUUUAAGAGUAUCUUACUUUGAUUACUAUAUGAAAUCAUUUUUAGUCAAAUUUAAAUUUUUUUUGUUGAACUCCAGAUUUUUAUAGUUCAUUUAUCUAAGAAUCAGAGUGUUAAUGAAAAAAAUAGUUUACUGAAUAUGUAUGAUCGCUUUAAAUUACUUAGUUUUAUUAUGAUUCCAAAGUGAUUAUAGGUCACAUUAUUUAUAUAGUCUGUCAUUGGCCUAGUACACCAAAGAGCUUUGUCAUAUAAAAAAGGAAUAUAGUUCAUAAUUUAUGAUUCCAGAUUUUAUUUUAUUUUUUUCUUUAAAAAAAAUGAUUUUUUAUUUAUUUAUAACAAACUAAAAAAAUUAUAUAUUUGAAGAAAUAGUGAAAUUAAGAAUCAUAGGUAAGUUUUUUUUUUAAAAAAAAAAUCAUAGGUAAAAGAACCAAGAAGAAAAUACACUAAAACUUUAUCCUUUUAAGUAAAUAUAGUUUUAUCGACCAAAGUAUUACAAAAUUUUACUAUAUUUAACUCAAGUACCGGCUUUAAAGGGCAUUCACAUGUAUAUUUAUAUUCCAACUCAUUUUUACAUUAUAACUAAAAACAAAUCACUUUAGUUAAAAUUACUUUUAACUAAAAUUAAUUAUAAAUAAUAAAUUCUAUCAAAAUAAAUUCUCUCCAUCGUAUAGUCAAACACACGCUAUGACAAUAAAGACAUCUUAAUUGUUUUCAUCUUAAAUUGAUAUACGAGAGUGUGUAUGAGAUAAAUAUUUUAUUGUAAAAGCAAAGGAAAAAGAAAACAGCAAUGAUCACAAACACUCACUUCAUGUGUGUCCACAUGACACAUAAUUUAUAUCGUUUUU
rnacentral:lncRNA from 1 species